UAUAUCGAUGGUGAAACUGCAAAAAUGCAUAUCUCGGUUGCGGUGCUUGAAAAUCUCCGUUCCUAUUUUAUUUUUUAAAAGAAAACCGAACCAACAUCGUGGCUUGAAAUUUUCACAGAAUAUUUUUCACAAAAGAAGAAAAAUAUCCAAAGUGCUCAAUAAAUGACGUUCAUUGGUUUUCCAUAUGAAAAAUAAAGUAUGACAGGAAGUCUGCAACGCCGCAAACCGAUAUACGCAUUCCUGCAGUUUCACCAUCGAUAUCGCAUCGAUUAGUGCGAUUAACUGCGAUAUAUCGCAUGAAUUCGACCAAAGUUAGGUUAUUGUUUGGCGAGGAGGCAGGCAGGCUGCAGCAAGAGAGUCAAGAGCAAGGCAAGAGUCAAGCAAAAUAAUGCAGAAAAUUGCAUGCUGCAGAAAAACGUGAAGGAAAAGCGAACGCGAGUAGUUAUUGUACUUCACUAAGUAAUUUUUCUAGCGGAAUCCUGUGUCCGUCUCACGGUUUCAGGUAUCUAUGCGGUAUCAAUUUCAAGUCUCGGUCUGAUAGUGAAGUGAACAUUACUUUUUUAACUACUUCUCCCUUGAUACUGUGUCUGUCCUCUGUCCCAUCACCUUCUGAGCCAACUGAGCUCAGAGCUCAGUCUCGAUUUUCUUCGUCUGUCUAAAUGAGUGCCUCAAGUCUGCCGAAAGCAGUUUUACUGUCUCCAGCCUCUACACAUCUUCACGCUGCUUACUCUACUGCUGUAAAUCGCAUUAAAUUCGAGGAGCAUAUUGAGCGCAGCAUUUCUUUGCUGGAACAAGAUGAGCAUCAAAAACGAUUGAACAAACUACGUAAGGAAUUGGAUUACAUCCAAAACACAUCUUGGAAGUAUCCAUCUGUAGAUAAUUCAUUGGCCAUUAAGGAUUAUUGCAAAGACAAUCACCAAAUCAGCCAUCAAUCUGAUUUUCCAAAGGUGUAG
rnacentral:lncRNA from 1 species